rnacentral:misc_RNA from 1 species
UGGCUCUUGCAACGAUGAAGAACGCAGCGAAAUGCGAUACGUAGUGUGAAUUGCAGAAUUCCGUGAAUCAUUGAAUCUUUGAACGCACAUUGCACUCUAUUCUGUAGAGUAUGCCUGUUUGAGAAUCUACUAUUCUUUGUUUUUAGCUUACGAGUUUCUAGAAACAAGAUGUGAGGCUCCCUACACAAGUAAGGGUGCUUUGAAAUGGAUGGUUGUAGUGUCGACUGUAUAAAGAGUGUAUGGGGAAACCCUUCUUCUGGAGAAAACAGAAAACAUCAACAGAAGAUCGAAACAUGGUCUCAAAUCAGGUAGGACUACCCGCUGA